AACGGCCAUACCAUGCUGAAUAUACCGGUUCUCGUUAGAUCACCGAAGUCAAGCAUCAUUGGGCGCGGUCAGUACUUGGGUGGGUGACCACC